rnacentral:rRNA from 1 species
GAUGAACGCUGGCGGCGUGCCUAAUACAUGCAAGUCGGGCGAACGGACGAGAAGCUUGCUUCUCUGAUGUUAGCGGCGGACGGGUGAGUAACACGUGGAUAACCUACCUAUAAGACUGGGAUAACUUCGGGAAACCGGAGCUAAUACCGGAUGAUAUUUUGAACCGCAUGGUUCAAAAGUGAAAGACGGUCUUGCUGUCACUUAUAGAUGGAUCCGCGCUGCAUUAGCUAGUUGGUAAGGUAACGGCUUACCAAGGCAACGAUGCAUAGCCGACCUGAGAGGGUGAUCGGCCACACUGGAACUGAGACACGGUCCAGACUCCUACGGGAGGCAGCAGUAGGGAAUCUUCCGCAAUGGGCGAAAGCCUGACGGAGCAACGCCGCGUGAGCGAUGAAGGUCUUCGGAUCGUAAAACUCUGUUAUUAGGGAAGAACAUAUGUGUAAGUAACUGUGCACAUCUUGACGGUACCUAAUCAGAAAGCCACGGCUAACUACGUG